CCUACGGGUGGCAGCAGUCGAGAAUCAUUCACAAUGGGGGAAACCCUGAUGGUGCGACGCCGCGUGGGGGAAUGAAGGUCUUCGGAUUGUAAACCCCUGUCAUGUGGGAGCAAAUUAAAAAGAUAGUACCACAAGAGGAAGAGACGGCUAACUCUGUGCCAGCAGCCGCGGUAAUACAGAGGUCUCAAGCGUUGUUCGGAACCACUGGGCGUAAAGGGUGCGUAGGCUGUUUCGUAAGUCGUGUGUGAAAGGCGCGGGCUCAACCCGCGGACGGCACAUGAUACUGCGAGACUAGAGUAAUGGAGGGGGAACCGGAAUGCUCGGUGUAGCAGUGAAAUGCGUAGAUAUCGAGAGGAACACUCGUGGCGAAGGCGGGUUCCUGGACAUUAACUGACGCUGAGGCACGAAGGCCAGGGGAGCGAAAGGGAUUAGAUACCCGAGUAGUC
rnacentral:rRNA from 1 species